UUCCUUCUCUCCAGUCACUUU
rnacentral:piRNA from 1 species